rnacentral:rRNA from 1 species
AUGUUCCGACCUGCACGAAUGGCGUAACGACUUCCCCGCUGUCUCCAGCAUCGACUCAGUGAAAUUGAAUUCCCCGUGAAGAUGCGGGGUUCCUGCGGUCAGACGGAAAGACCCCGUGCACCUUUACUACAACUUUGCAGUGGCAAUAGAGUGGAGAUGUGCAGGAUAGGUGGGAGCCUUUGAAGCGGUAGCGCCAGUUACCGUGGAGGCGUCCUUGAGAUACCACCCUUCUGCAUUCUAUUGUCUAACCGCGGCCAGUGAACCCUGGUCCGGGACCCUGCAUGGUGGGUAGUUUGACUGGGGCGGUCGCCUCCUAAAUGGUAACGGAGGCGCGCAAUGGUGGGCUCAGGCCGGUCGGACAUCGGCUGCUGAGUGCAAUGGCAUAAGCCCGCCUGACUGCGAGACUGACAAGUCGAGCAGAGACGAAAGUCGGUCAUAGUGAUCCGGUGGUCCCUCGUGGAAGGGCCAUCGCUCAACGGAUAAAAGGUACGCCGGGGAUAACAGGCUGAUACUGC